rnacentral:miRNA from 1 species
AAUCAAAGGAUGGGCCUUGGACCU